rnacentral:sRNA from 1 species
GUUUUUUCCUCACUAUAUAUUUUUUGCAGUACUGUAAUAUUAAAGAUAAAGCUUUUAAUACUUCCCCACAAAAACUUUUUUCUGGGACGAUUACUAUCUUAUCAUAAGCAAUAGAUUAAUCCUUAUUAAACAAGCAUUCUGAGAGUAUUGCAUAAGCAAUACAAGUCCCCUACCGGUUUGUAGAUUUGUGAAAACAAUGCACUGUUAUGCAGAAGAUCAUUUUUUAUCGUCUUCUGUACCCCGAAUCAACAGACCAACCCGAUAACGAACCCGAUUGUAAUGAUACCAAAAAACCCUGUCGAUUAGAUUUACAACACAAUGCUUGACACUAUUGUUCAGAACUUAUUUGUUUGUUAGAAACAAUACAAGGAAUGGUCUAAGUAAAAUGCAUAAUAUUAU